UGUGCAUCAGAAUCUAGACUUCCACUUGCAAACCCCUGAUAGGCACUAUCAAAGAAAGGCAAUAACCCUUUAGAUCUUAUUAACUGCCUGAUAUUCUCCCACUGUUGAGGAGUUGGAUCAACGCCUGUAGGGUUAUGAGCACAUGCAUGCAAAAGUACAAUAGCUCCAGAUGGGGCAGAACCAAGAUCUUCCAACAAGCCUUGGAAGUUCAGCCCUCGUGUUGCUGGAUCAUAAUAGCGAUAGGUUUUUACAGAUAAACCAGCCAAAGUAAAAACUUUAGGGUGGUUUCCCCAUGUUGGCUGGGGAAUGUAUAUGGUGCGUUGGUGAUAAUGUCUGGCCAAAAAUUCAGCUCCAACCCUCAAAGAGCCAGUGCCAGACAAACAUUGAACUGUGGUAACCCUGUUCUCUUGAAUAGCAGGGCUGUCAGCACCAAAAAUAAGCUUAGCACUCAAUUUGUUGAAAUCAGCCAGUCCAGUAAUAGGAAGAUAUUCCUUUACACGUGACCUGUCAUUAACAAGUUGCUGCUCAGCCUUCCUCACUACAUUCAGAACAAGAGGUUUUCCUUCAUCAGUUCGAUAAGCGCCAACUCCCAAAUUCAGCUUGACGGGACUGGGGUCUUUGUUAUACGCGACGGUUACACCGAGGAUGGGGUCCUCAGGGGCCCGAACAACAUGAGAGAAAACAGAAUUGUCUUGAAAGCCGGAAGUAGGAGAAGCAGAGAUCGCAGUGGCGGUGUGGCUCUCAAAGUCCAUCUCCAC
rnacentral:misc_RNA from 1 species